CUGCAGAUGUAGGGCCGGUGCGAGGCCACUGCGCCUGGGCUCCGAAGUUCAGAGCUUGUGGGGGCCAAGGCCGGGCGAUUUGCAUUUCAAUGGGUUCCGCUGGUAGACUCAGUGCCGGGCACUUCCGCAGCUCCUACCAGAUCUGCCUUUGUUGGUUUUAGCUCAGGUCAAGUUCAUUUCUUGGGACUGGGGGAGCGGCGCGCGUUGAGUCUGUGUAGUGAGGCAGAACGCGCGCGCCGGGAAGGAAGGAGCCGCGCGCCCUUUGUCUGCGCAGCCCGAGGCUCGGAGCGCCUGCUUCAUCUACGAGUACUGAGGAUUGAACUGAGGGCCUCAUACAUGCUAGGUGUCCGGCUCCCUAAAGAAUGAACUCUUCCAUCCCCUUCUUCCAGACUGCUGACUAUAGACUCGGAACCUGUGAGGGUCCGACAUCCCCGACACCAUACACUAGAUUGAAAUUUGUUUCCCUUUGUCUUAAGAAAAACUCCUGGGGAUACUGAGGAUACCAAGAGGUUGGUGAAUGAUUGGCAGGAGUACUUGUGGCUCGCUGGGGCGCUGGAAGACCUUGCACAAUGCCUGGAAUUGUAUAUUGUGCACAACCUUGUUUUGACAGAACGAAAGACCUUCAUCCUAUUGCUCACUCGAUGGUUCUAUAAAAGCAAUUUUUCACUCGCAGGCUGUGCAGAGCCAGGUGUGCGUUCCAUAAUACGCCUAUUAUACAGCCAUUCUCAGUAGCCGUGCAUAUACAAUGACCCUUCUGAUUUGCCCCACUACCGAGUGCUUGCCAAGACUUCGGUCCCCACCUGGUACAACUUCAGGAAAAGGCCAAGGUAGCCUUAAUCAGCAUCACUGGGGACCAGUCCAAAGAGAACAGGUCAGAGGAAUACCAGAGUCUACUAUCAACAUGAGGAUUGUAAAUACUUAUAUCCACAAAAAAAAGAAUCAAGUGCUCUUCACUCUCUGAUUUAUAUCACUUCAGGAAGAAAGAAGCCUUUUUGUCUCUUUAUCAAGCCUACAGUCAUGGAAUGUGUAUAUGCUUUUUUUUUUUUUUUUGAGUACUGGGGAUUGAACUCAGGACCUUGCACCUCAGAACCACUGAGCUAAAUCCCCGGCCCAGUGUACAUGGUUUCUUCAGUUUCAGCCCUUGUGAUUGCCAUUCAACAGAAGUUGCUUAUACCAUGGUCAUCUUUCUUUGUAACCAAACCUUUUGCUUGUGAUUUUGCUCUCCUAAGUGUUAAUCAUUUGUGGCACCAACAACAGCACUAGUAGUUUCUUGCUUAUCCUGACACGUCACUGACUUCUUUCUUUUUUCUAGCUUUCAGUAUUUCUGGCAAUUCUUUCCUUUGCUACCCUUGGAAAUAAAACAUCUGACAUAGUCACAAGUCAUCAGCCAUGUCUAGAUGACCAUGAAUUCCAUGUACAUAACUGCUAGUAUAACAGAAAUAUGUCCAAUUAACACUGCUAGCAGAAGACUCUCCACUUGAAUGUCUCAAAACCUUAAUAUAAUAAGUAAGAAAUGGUCAAGUAGUACUUUUAAAUGACUUGACCUAAUAGUUACAUUCCCAAACUGGAGUUAAUUGCUUGCUUCAAAACUUCAUUUUCUCCAACUAGCUUACGAAUUACUGAUAGCUCUGGACCUUGAGUUUCUUGGUUUGUUGCAUUGAAAUCAUCUGUAGUGUUCCUUCCUUCUUCCAUCUUUCCAUUUCUCCAGGGAGUGAAAAAGCUUUUAGCUGAUCUUUGAUUUCUUCUUCUAUCUAACCAUGUUAUUCUUGGGGUGUAAUAAUGAAGUUUGCAUGCCCCCUUUUAUAAUCUGAUGUAGGCCCACAAGCAUUGAUGCUUUGCUAAUAUUGGUUUAUUUAUUAUGCCUUCUUUGGAAAAUCCUUUGUGAUUACUUGUUUGAAGUUAAAAAUACUGAUUGGAUACAAGAUUCUUUUUUUUUUUUUUCAGUUUUCAGCAUAUAUCUCCAACCUGCCCUCAGUCUAUAUUUGAGUUUAAUAAAUCACAGUUUAAUUUUACUAAGCUUAAUUUUCUGCUCUGUAAAUUGAGACUAAUAAUAUUAACAAUCUCAUAAGGUUGUGGUUAGGAUUAAUUUAAUACAUGCAAUCCUUAGAAUGAUGCCAGAGUUAUAUCAAACCCUUAUUCAGUGUUAAUUAUGUGGAAAAAAAUUCAUUAUCAUCUCAUGCUGAAGACAAAUUUUUUUUGUAGUUUUCUACUAUUUUUGCAAAAAACCCCCCCCCAAACAACACCCCCAAAUCAACAGCUUUUGAAGGGUUCAUGUUUAAUUCUGGGUCUGUAAAAAACUCUUGGUUGAUUUUUAGUUGUCUUGAUCCAAUUUUAUCCUCUGUAAUGAUAGUACUCUUUAAUGAUGAUUUUUUUAAAAAAACCCUAAAAACAUACAUAUUCUCUAGAAGGUAUUUAGUAUCAAGUAUUCUAAUAAAGAGUUGCUAUGAAGCAAAUCUUUUGCUAAAGGUGAUUCUCAAACUUGAGUUUACUAAAAUGGUCCAAGAAAUAUAGUAAGGGAUUUGCACUGCAGUAAUGUCUUUGAAGUCGUCGCCUGCCUUUAAUUUUUCAGUAAGCGCCUAAUCUCAUUAGAUUUCAUACACCCAGUGUUUGCACUUGCACAAAAGCUGUCCAAACAAAGCCAAAAUGUUGACACCACCGUCCUCUGAUGGCAUUUAGAAUGAAUAUAUUAAACACACUUGCACUAGCAUUGCAUUAAGCUAAGAAAUAAAUUUUGAACUUUGAACUCAGCAGGAUAAAAAGUUUUACUUGAUAGCUGAGCAAUUGUGUUGUGGUAUCAUGGGGGGAAGUCAUUGUGUUGUUCAGAGAAUCCAAAUAUGCAAACAUGCUCUGCAUACAGUAGGCACUGCACAAGUAAAGAAUUAAAGUAAGGAACAGUCCUCAAAUCCUGUUGUUAGGGACAUAAAUGGAAGGUAAAGUGGACUGGUGGAUUUGCUUUGAAAUGCACUGAAUAAACUUUGAUUAAACUCGCUUCAGAGAAAGGCUCUGAAAGAAUACCUUCUAGUAAGUGUGUGAACUAGAGUAUGCUUUACUUCAAUCCACUCUGGUAAUUCACAAAUUUAGGCAUUUUUCUUUAGAAUCUGGAAAUUAUAUUUUUAUUAAAGGUUUGGAAACUGAUGAUUAUAGAGAACAUAAAAGAUAAGACUUCUCUGACUUUUGUCAUAAAAUAAAGAUAGCAACAAGGCUAGAAUUUGGAACCAACUAAAUCUAAUGGCUAGAGCUAUUUAGUGGUUUCUAAGUAGACAGAAGUGAAAGUAAAAGAGUUUCCCCAUAUAUUGUGUAUAAAUGUUUAUAAACCUAUAUAUCUGUAAUAUGAUCAUUAAUUAAGAAAUAUAUACCAAUGAGGAAAAUACCACCCACCAAAAUCCAUUCAUUAAAGUUUGUGCACAUUACUUAUUGAAAAUUUCAUAAUUCCUCAGCCUGAUUUCUUUUACUUUAGACAUUAUUUGCUUGAGUUUUGCUUUUUGGCUUGUGUGAAAGGAUUUCACAAGAAACAUUUUUUGAAAUUUGUUGAUACCAGCUAUUAUCAGAAUAAUGUUGAAGAUAUCUAUGUUAACUUAUUGGUUUUUUGUGGAUAUCAUGAAAAAAGUUCUCUCAGGUCUUCAUAUCAAGAGCAGUAGUAAUUUCUAUGAAUAGCUGGC
ensembl:lncRNA